CCACUGCUGAGGAGUCCCACAAUAGGACGAAGUGGCCGUCCAGUAC
rfam:Schistosoma mattheei strain Denwood, Zambia genome assembly, scaffold: SMTD_scaffold0018330